rfam:Aedes albopictus isolate Foshan contig121290, whole genome shotgun sequence.
UGCCCAGCAACUCCUAUCCCUAACACCACGCGGUACCGGCCGGAAACUAUGAGCAACCUUAGGGAAGAUCGGGUAAUCAACCCCGGUGGGAACUUUGGUCGUAGGCUGACAGGGAAGG